GUGAGGAAUAUUGGGCAAUGGACGAAAGUCUGACCCAGCAACGCCGCGUGGAGGAUGAAUGCCGUAAGGUUGUAAACUCCUUUUGAAGGGGACGAAAAAUUCCGCUAACAUCGGAACUUGACUGUACCCUUAGAAGAAGCCCCGGCUAACUACGUGCCAGCAGCCGCGGUAAUACGUAGGGGGCAAGCGUUGUCCGGAUUUACUGGGUGUAAAGGGCGCGUAGGCGGACUUGUAAGUCAAGGGUGAAAUCUCCCGGCUUAACCGGGAAACUGCCUUUGAUACUGCAAGUCUUGAGUUCGGAAGAGAGUAGCGGAAUUCCAGGUGUAGUGGUGAAAUACGUAGAUAUCUGGAAGAACACCAGUGGCGAAGGCGGCUACUUGGUCCGUAACUGACGCUGAGGCGCGAAAGCGUGGGGAGCAAACAGGAUUAGAAACCCGAGUAGUCC
rnacentral:rRNA from 1 species